rnacentral:rRNA from 1 species
CCUACGGGCUGCACCAGUGGGGAAUAUUGGACAAUGGGCGAAAGCCUGAUCCAGCAAUGCCGCGUGUGUGAAGAAGGUCUUCGGAUUGUAAAGCACUUUCGACGGGGACGAUGAUGACGGUACCGUAGAAGAAGCCCCGACUAACUUCGUGCCAGCAGCUGCGGUAAUACGAAGGGGGCUAGCGUUGCUCGGAAUGACUGGGCGUAAAGGGCGCGUAGGCGGUUUAUACAGUCAGAUGUGAAAUCCCCGGGCUUAACCUGGGAACUGCAUUUGAGACGCAUAGACUAGAGGUCGAGAGAGGGUUGUGGAAUUCCCAGUGUAGAGGUGAAAUUCGUAGAUAUUGGGGAGAACACCGGUGGCGAAGGCGGCAACCUGCUCGAUACUGACGCUGAGGCGCGAAAGCGUGGGGAGCAAACAGGAUUAGAUACCCGAGUAGUC